UUGAGUAAGCUCCUGACUACCAACACUGGGAGGAUACAGAGAAGAUGACCAUAGUCCCUGAGCAUGGAUGAUAUGCAAAUUUGUGAAACAUUCCACAUUUUA
ensembl:snRNA U6 U6 spliceosomal RNA